UUGGGGGUCAGGGGGAGGGAUGGAGUGAAGUUCAGGGGUCGGGGAUCAGGGAUUGGGGUUCAGGGGGAGGGAUGGGGUGGAGUUCAGGGGUCGGGGAUCAGGGGGGUCAGGGGUCGGGGGUCAGGGGUCGGGAUGGGGUGGAGUUCAGGGGUCGGGGAUCAGGGUGGUCAGGGAUUGGGGUUCAGGGGGAGGGAUGGGGUGGAGUUCAGGGGUCGGAGAUCAGGGUGGUCAGGGAUUGGGGUUCAGGGGGAGGGAUGGGGUGGAGUUCAGGGGUCGGGGAUCAGGGAUUGGGGUUCAGGGGGAGGGAUGGGGUGGAGUUCAGGGGUCAGGGAUCAGGGAUUGGGGUUCAGGGGGAGGGAUGGGGUGGAGUUCAGGGGUCAGGGAUCAGGGAUGGGGGGUCAGGGGGAGGGAUGGGGUGGAGUUCAGGGGUCGGGGAUCAGGGAUUGGGGGUCAGGGAGAGGGAUGGGGUGGAGUUCAGGGGUCGGGGAUCAGGGGGAUCAGGGAUUAGGGUUCAGGG